rnacentral:tRNA from 1 species
AGUCUUAUAUUCAAAAAUGAUUUUAAAUUGCAAAUUUAAAGGUGGAUCAAUCCUAAGGCUU